GCCCACUCCUGUUCUCCCCUUUCAAAAAGCAUUUGAAGAAACAAUUUGCUGCUGAUCACAGUAACCGCUCCGUGUUAUUAUCUUGUUAAGGCCAGUUAAGAGGCCAUGUCUCUGAGGGCUUUGGCGACCCUGUCAGGAAGGCGUCACUUUGCUUGGUGGGCUGCCAUGCAACCACAGAGGCGUUAACGGCCCAAACUUCUUUGCCACAUGGACAAACACAAACACAAAGACAGACGACGACACGAAUCCCUUCACUACCCUCAAGGGGAUACAAUUUUGAAAGGGGAGCAUCAGUGACCGCAACUGUCACGUAAACUGGACGGAGCGGAUGUGGCUCAGGAGGUACAGCGGGUCGUUCACCGAACCAGAGGGUUUACACAACGUGCAGCACUCUGUCGAGCACCAUGGGCGACGUCUGUUUUCAUUUCACCUCCUACCGCAGAAGAUGGGAAUCUACAGUUCUACAGUGCGUCAGUGAACGCCCAGGGUCUAUGGGUUUUAAUUGCAAUCAGGAACUGCGGCAGCUUUAACAGGAGAAGACAAACUAAUCAGUGAAGUCAUAGGGAUCAGUGUUUUUGUUGGAAUGAGAAAACGGCAUCUUGUCCAUCAGACACAGUUCAACCAUCCCCACUCCAGAGUGUUGUUUUAUAUAAUCCUACAGACCCCCAGCCUCAGUACAACUUGGACCCCUCUGUCCCUUGGUCAUCGCAUGUCUCUGGAGUUAUUGUAUCAUGCUACACAAGACAUAAGGCGACAAUCUCCAUGUCUCUGGCCAUCUUCUCACUGAGCAGGUCCUUGUAGUCUUCACACUGCUCCUUCAUCUGUACCUGGAAGUCGGACUCCUGCUGCCGCAUCUCAUCCAUGGUGAACUGGAC